GACGAACGCUGGCGGCGUGCUUAACACAUGCAAGUCGAACGGAAAGGCCCUGCUUUUGUGGGGUGCUCGAGUGGCGAACGGGUGAGUAACACGUGAGUAACCUGCCCUUGACUUUGGGAUAACUUCAGGAAACUGGGGCUAAUACCGGAUAGGAGCUCCUGCUGCAUGGUGGGGGUUGGAAAGUUUCGGCGGUUGGGGAUGGAUUCGCGGCUUAUCAGCUUGUUGGUGGGGUAGUGGCUUACCAAGGCUUUGACGGGUAGCCGGCCUGAGCGGGUGACCGGCCACAUUGGGACUGAGAUGCGGCCCAGACUCCUACGGGAGGCAGCAGUGGGGAAUAUUGCUCAAUGGGCGGAAGCCUGAUGCAGCAACGCCGCGUGCGGGAUGACGGCCUUCGGGUUGUAAACCGCUUUCGCCUGUGACGAAGCGUGAGUGACGGUAAUGGGUAAAGAAGCACCGGCUAACUACGUG
rnacentral:rRNA from 1 species